CGCUGAUCGAUAUCUUGGUAAAAUAUUCAUUUUUAAACUAGCGGGCAGUGAAAUCUUUGCUUUGUGUGCUAAAGUCAACAGUCGCUUGGUUUGAGCUCAAAUAAAUGCGGGGAUGCCUCGGCUCGGAGCAGUCGGCCUCCUCCCUCCGCGAGCUGGACGCUCCGCAGCCCGCCCGCCAGCCGGCCCGCCGGCCGCCGCAGGAAUCCCUGGAUAAAGACCAGCUCAACCAUCGCUGAGAAAACAGACCUAGGCUUCCCAGGGCGGUUAACCCGCCGGCCUCUGGGCAGAGACUACAAAACAAAAUAAAACAACAACAAAAAACUCCCAGUGUGUUUCCUACUCUUCUUUGUCUUGGAGGAAAGCAAAGGGAGAGAAAUGGACUUCACCAGUGGUCUUUGGCUUCAUCAAUUCACAGGAAAUGGCAUCAAGAUGGUUCAACUAAGACAUGAUCACUAAAAACAUUAUAAUAAUACCUUUUUGAAAAACUCAGUUUCUCCUGUUUACUAAAUAUUUAUUUCAUCAACAUGGGCUGCGUUCCACUGUGUCAGGAUUCUGCAUGUGGGUGGAGCACUGUUCCAGCCUGAGAAGAUGGUUCUGAGGCCACUUAGCAAGACAUUUUCCAGCAUGAGCAGGUUUCUCUGUGGAAAUAGUGACACCUGUUCUGGUGUGUUGUCUUUCCUCAGGGAACUUAAGGGGUACAAAGCUCCUGAAAAUGUUCUUUAUGCUGGUUGAAGCUCUUAUGUCGCUGUACUGAUUCCCUACGAUGCAGAUUUGAAUCACAGAGUAAUUAAAAUAUGGAUCAAAUAAGGCUGGGGCUCACCAAGGCUGAAAGCUGUAGCCAUUCAAGGCAUCAUUUCUGUCAUGAAAAUAUAGGACCUUUUCAAAACAUGCCUUCAGGAAGGUGUUCUCUUUUCAAACAAAAGUCUAAUGACUGCAUAACUCUUCUUGACCACAUCUUACACUUUCUCUAGACUUGCUUAUUUACAGCUACUGGAACAAAAAGAUGAAAUGAAUAAAGCACACUGAUUGUCCUAAGAGUCUUCUGUGACUAAAAGCACAUGAGCUUCUCCCCAGGCUGAGCUUUGACCCUCCCAAGCAUUUCCCCAAAGGCCAUGACACUGCAUCAGAUUGCUCCUGGACACUUUCCUCAGAGUUUUCAACAAAUAUAAACUGAGGAGUGGAGCACAGCACCAGAUUUGCUAAUCAAGAGGCAAUGGUCCCAGUCCAAAUGGGUGCUGUGUGUGAAUACAGAGCCCAGGAGAAGGGAAGGAGGUCUGUGAACAUCAGGAAUUGCAAAAUCUUGCUGAACCAAUAGACCAACAGCCAUUAACAUUUGUCAAUGCAAAGAUCCUAAAAUAUACAAGUGUGGAGUUGUCCUGCCCUAAGAGCUGAAGCUGUGACAAUCACGCUGCCAUGGUAGAUAUUUAAGCUCCCCUGAGGUUACUGAAUCUAACAAUGAAUAAACAAUGAAGAGUAGCUAAUUUUUGGAAAUCUCUUUCUAUGACCGGAAAAUAUUCACAAACUCAGAGUGAUUGUUUGGGGUGAAAGAUGGUCCCAUGCCUUGUGGGCCUCUCUUUGCUAUCUAUACAACGUUGGAAAUGAACCCCUCCCUUACAGGAAAGUGAACAGCAACCAAGGAUCAAUAUUUCCAGCAAAGGAGUCCACACUCAAGAUACACUGCUACGUCUCACUUUUUCCUUGACACAACAAUUUAUUUUAUAAAUGCAUCUGCUGGAGAAGAAAAGGCAGUACCAAGGAUUGUGUCUUUUAUCUCCAGGAUAUGCAAAGCGCAUUUAUUUUCAGCUUUUAUCUCUGGAAUUGUAUGUUGAUCCCAUACAUAUAGAUUGAUUUUGUUCAGGUAGAUAAUGAAAAGUCAAGUGGAAAAUUACACAAUGGCAUUCACGAUCCUAGUCUUAUAUCAGUAUAUAAAUUGGUUUAUUAUUUCAUUCUAUUAAAGAGGCUUUUUUUUGGUACCAGGAAAACUUCAAAAUGCAUUGUGUUGUCAGCCUCACUGAAUUUUCUUUUGGAGGAGGAGGUAGGGAGGGGAAGCCAAAGCCCCGAUUUCUCCUGCUCCUUUUGCUAAUUGUAUUGGCUAAAUGAGCUUUCACAGAGGGGGGUCCUGGCUGCUUUUUGCUCUCCCCCAGACCACUUGUAGGUUGCACACAGGGCUUCUAUAACUCUUUCUGAGUCAGGACAAAGAUAUCCGCCGUGCACACCCUGUGACAUAGGUGGAUAUUUAUUUCAUCCCGGGCAAUUCUAAAUUUUGUCAUGAUGACUGAAAGAGGCAAUCCCCUCCUGAGCAUUAAGAGGCCAGGGGUGAGAGGGUGGCAGCAUAGAAAAGCCACCACCCAGAGACAGCUUGGAGCCAUGAUCCUGGAGGAAAUGUUAUUAAUAAACAUCUUUUGGACAUUUGGUAGCCCGUGGAGCUUGCUCCAGCUUAAAGCAAUUAAUUCAGGACACUGACAUAAACUCUCCAGAUCUUUGACAGCUUGGAGCCGAA
rnacentral:lncRNA from 1 species